rnacentral:tRNA from 1 species
GGCGCCAUAGCUAAGCGGUUAAAGCGAAAGAUUAGAAAUCUUUUCCUCUGUGAGGGCGUAGGUUCGAGUCCUACUGGCGUCG